GCUAGGCGUGGUGGCACACACCUGUAAUCCCAGCUACUUGGGAGGCUGAGGCAGGAGGAUUCCAAAUUUGAGGCCAACCUCAGAACCUCAGCAAUGUAAAGAUGCCCUAACCAACUUAGUGAGACUCUGCCUUAA
rnacentral:sRNA from 1 species